rnacentral:rRNA from 1 species
UACGUAGGGUGCAAGCGUUGUCCGGAAUUCUUGGGCGUAAAGAGCUCGUAGGCGGUCUGUCGCGUCUGGUGUGAAAACUCAAGGCUUAACCUUGGGCCUGCAUCGGGUACGGGCAGACUAGAGUGCGGUAGGGGAGACUGGAAUUCCUGGUGUAGCGGUGAAAUGCGCAGAUAUCAGGAGGAACACCGGUGGCGAAGGCGGGUCUCUGGGCCGAUACUGACGCUGAGGAGCGAAAGCGUGGGGAGCGAACAGG